rnacentral:lncRNA from 1 species
AAAAGAACCUAUAUCCAAAGAGCUGGGUUCUCCUUUCGGAUGUGAUGUUGAACAGUUUCUCUGUGUGCUUCAUCUCCACCUCCCUCCCAGCUUUUAUGUCCCUUCUACUUCGUCUUCAAACUCGAGUUCAAAUCUCCUUCCCUCUGAAAACCCCCUCUCGACUGUGCUACCCAUUGUAAAGACCGACUCUUCAGUGAAGACACAGAAUCAGCAUUUGGGAGAUGCGGAGACCAGGGACGACUCCUUCCUCCUGGGAGAGCUGGGAUUCCAGUCCUGGGAGUGAUUCUGGGUCAUCAGGCCGGAGAAUCACACUCUCUGCUAUCAGCAUCCAACCUACUCGAGUCCUGACCCCACACUGCCAGGAGAGUCCAGCAAGCCCUGAGGGCCUGAGCACAGCCAGGCUGGACACUGGAGGCAGCCCCGGGAGAUGGUGAACCCCCAUACAUUCACAAUGCCCCUUCUAACAUAUUUUCACCAUAUUCUAAACCAUUGCUACUUAAGAGUGCAAUCCAAGGACCACAGGCCAUUGGCAUGCCUGUGAGCCCAUCACCUCUGCAAGGCUCAUGCCCCAUCUGGUCCCACUGAGUCUGAAUGUGAAUUUCAAAAGUUCCUGCAUGAUUUGUGUGCACAUUAAAGUGAGAAACAUUGUUGUAAACAACUGCUGCAUACCAUGAAAAGACUGUUGGAAAUGUGCUCAGAGAAGAGCCCUCCUCAUCCUCUCCCUAACUGUACCAUAACACAGAGC